rnacentral:rRNA from 1 species
UUAGAUCACGGUCAGCAUGCUAUCCGUAACCCAACACCAAUUAGAGAUCAGGCGGCUAGCCCCGAAGGGUAUCCGUUGCAAUCCUCGACCCCAAACAUCACAUCUAUCAAGGGCUAUAACACUCCCGAAGGAGCUACCUCCCCCCAAUUAUUUUAUGACAUUCAAAAUCGACGUUGACCUGCCAAGCGAAGAAGUGCACCCAGAGUUUCCCCUAAGUUGAUUCCCACCGGCAUGACUGACUUCAAUCGUUUCCCUUUCAAA